GCUCUUAUGUUUGCCAAACCCCUUUCAAGUCUUCCUUCUGAACAAAUUUCGGGACGAAAUUUCCUAAAGGAGGGGAGACUGUAACGCCUCGUAUUUCCGCAUUCUAUUUUUUUAUAUAUAUUUGGUGUUAAAACCGAACCGGAAAACAGACAAGAAACGAACACCGAGUCAUCUUACGCGAUUUUAACGUAACCGACGAACGUACGCGGUUAAUAAUGAUUACUGACACUAUUUCACGUGCAUUUAACUCAAAAAUUUUAUUUUAUUUUACGAUUUUAGAUGACGUUCGGGUGCGAAAACGGGUCGUAGGGGUAACGGGCCACCUAAAACACGGGGAUUGGGCUUGUGGGCCUUGGGCCCAAACCCAUUAAACUAAACUAGUAUAUAUAACUAGUGAUUAGGGUCAAAACCCUAAAAAAAACAAAAACUCCAUCUUUUUUUUUGUUACAGCCGUUCACCUUCAUCUCCUAAAAAAAAGAAACAAGAACACUCACACACACAUGAACUCCUCCAUCUUCUUCACAAAGGUUUAUAAUCCAAACCAUACCCAUAAUAUGUGGGACAUACCAAGCCUAUAAAUACCGACACUCUCAGCCUACUCGACACCCUCACACCAUCACAACAUCUUUUCGCUCAAACCGCAUACUCGUCGGAGAAGCCGGGUCGUCACCGGAAGAACUUGAAGCUCGCCGGAGCCGUACGGAAUCCGACGGAACUCUUUUCUUUUGUUCAGACAUCACCUUCUCCUUUUGGUUCGCGCUGGUUCACGUCGGAGACAACCGAAGUUCGCAACGGGAACCAUUUCAUCGAUUCGGAUAACCGCUCUCGUUCGUUCUCUUCAAUUCCCAAUCUUUACUCGUGCGAUAAUUCAAGGAAUUCUCAUAUGCAAUCAAUGUUGAUGAUUGAUGACACUAUGAAAAUGGAUAGCGAAGAUGCCUAGAUACUCAUUUAGACGCCUUAAGUUUAAAUCGUUGUAUCAAUUUUGUUAUGUUAUGUUUGAACAAUGUUGUCAUUGAAUUUCCUUGUAUGUUUUAACAAUUUAUUUAUGAAAUGAAAUCGGUUGAAUUAAAUAUUGUCA